rnacentral:rRNA from 1 species
GAUCCUCGCUCAGGAUGAACGCUGGCGGCGUGCCUAACACAUGCAAGUCGAGCGAAGCACUUUGCUUAGAUUCUUCGGAUGAAGAGGAUUGUGACUGAGCGGGCGGACGGGUGAGGUAACGCGUGGGUAACCUGCCUCAUACAGGGGGAUAACAGUUAGAAAUGACUGCUAAUACCGCAUAAGACCACAGCACCGCAUGGUGCGGGGGGUAAAAACUCCGGUGGUAUGAGAUGGACCCGCG